AAUACGGAUACGGCAUGGGAGGUCUGUAUGGAGGACUCGGAGGCUAUGGUGGUCUCUACGGAAUUGGAGGCUACGGAAUCGGACUAGGAAAAGGAAUCGGCUACUACUGAGUUACUGUCAACUGCAGUGUGAAGAAGACUAUUUAUUUUGUAUGCUCAUGACAGUGCAAUUUUUUAAAUAAAUAUUUGAAAUAUAAA